AGUCGGGUAAGUCCUGUACGACCAGCUCCCCGAGAAUCCCGCCAGGUCCUGACAGAAGCAACGGUAUCGGGUCGCAGCAGGUGCGAUGCAGGGAGCUUACCCU
rnacentral:SRP_RNA from 1 species